rnacentral:rRNA from 1 species
GAAACGACUGCUAAGACUGGAUAGGAGAUAAGAAGGCAUCUUUUUAUUUUUAAAAGACCUAGCAAUAGGUAUGCUUAGGGAAGAGCUUGCGUCACAUUAGUUAGUUGGUGGGGUAAUGGCCUACCAAGACGAUGAUGUGUAGCCGGGCUGAGAGGUCGAACGGCCACAUUGGGACUGAGACACGGCCCAAACUCCUACGGGAGGCAGCAGUAAGGAAUUUUCGGCAAUGGAGGAAACUCUGACCGAGCAAUGCCGCGUGAACGAUGAAGUAUUUCGGUACGUAAAGUUCUUUUAUUAGGGAAGAAAAGAUGGUGGAAAAACCAUUAUGACGGUACCUAAUGAAUAAGCCCCGGCUAACUAUGUGCCAGCAGCCGCGGUAAUACAUAGGGGGCAAGCGUUAUCCGGAAUUAUUGGGCGUAAAGGGUGCGUAGGCGGUUAAAUAAGUUUAUGGUCUAAGUGCAACGCUCAACGUUGUGAUGCUAUAAAAACUGUUUAGCUAGAGUUGGAUAGAGGCAAGUGGAAUUCCGUGUGUAGUGGUAAAAUGCGUAAAUAUACGGAGGAACACCAGAAGCGAAGGCGGCUUGCUGGGUCUUAACUGACGCUGAGGCACGAAAGCGUGGGGAGCAAACAGGAUUAGAUACCCUGGUAGUCCACGCCCUAAACGAUGAGUACUAAACGUUGGAUAAAACCAGUGUUGAAGUUAACACAUUAAGUACUCCGCCUGAGUAGUACGUACGCAAGUAUGAAACUUAAAGGAAUUGACGGGACUCCGCACAAGCGGUGGAUCAUGUUGUUUAAUUCGAAGGUACCCGAAAAACCUCACCAGGUCUUGACAUGCUUUUGCAAAGCUGUAGAAAUACAGUGGAGGUUAUCAGAAGCACAGGUGGUGCAUGGUUGUCGUCAGCUCGUGUCCUGAGAUGUUUGGGUUAAGUCCCGCAACGAGCGCAACCCUUGUUGUUAAUUGCCAUCAUUAAGUUGGGGACUUUAGCAAGACUGCCAAUGAUAAAUUGGAGGAAGGUGGGGACGACGUCAAAUCAUCAUGCCCCUUAUGACCUGGGCUACAAACGUGAUACAAUGGCUGUUACAAAGGGUAGCUAAAGUGUAAGCUUCUGGCGAAUCUCAAAAAAGCAGUCUCAGUUCGGAUUGAAGUCUGCAACUCGACUUCAUGAAGUUGGAAUCGCUAGUAAUCGCGAAUCAGCAUGUCGCGGUGAAUACGUUCUCGGGGUUUGUACACACCGCCCGUCA